AAAGUUUCCUUCGGGAGGCGAGUAGAGUGGCGCACGGGUGAGUAACACGUAGGUAAUCUACCUUUGGAUGGGGAAUAACAACCGGAAACGGUUGCUAAUACCGCAUAAUGCAGCGGCACCUAAUGGUGACAGUUGUUAAAGCGGGGGAUCGAAAGACCUCGCGUCUGAAGAGGAGCCUGCGGCGGAUUAGCUAGUUGGUAAGGUAAUGGCUUACCAAGGCGAUGAUCCGUAACCGGCCUGAGAGGGCGGUCGGUCACACUGACACUGACAUACGGGUCAGACUCCUACGGGAGGCAGCAGUCGGGAAUUUUGGGCAAUGGGCGAAAGCCUGACCCAGCAACGCCGCGUGAAGGAUGAAAUCCCUCGGGAUGUAAACUUCGCAAGAACAGGAAGAAUAAGUAGGGGACAAUACCCCCUAUGAUGACGGUACUGUUUGUAAGCUCCGGCUAACUCCGUGCCAGCAGCCGCGGUAAUACGGGGGGAGCAAGCGUUGCUCGGAUUUACUGGGCGUAAAGGGCGUGUAGGCGGCCACCGCAAGUCGGUUGUGAAAUCUCCGGGCUUAACCCGGAAAGGUCAACCGAUACUGCGGGGCUAGAGUGCAGAAGGGGCAACUGGAAUUCUCGGUGUAGCGGUGAAAUGCGUAGAUAUCGAGAGGAACACCUGCGGCGAAGGCGGGUUGCUGGGCUGACACUGACGCUGAAACGCGAAAGCUAGGGGAGCGAACGGGAUUAGAUACCCCGGUAGUCCUAGCCUUAAACGAUGAAUGCUUGGUGUCUGGGGUUAUAUAGUCCCCGGGUGCCGUCGCUAACGC
rnacentral:rRNA from 1 species